rnacentral:rRNA from 1 species
CAACGCCGCGUGAGGGAUGAAGGCCUCUGGGCUGUAAACCUCUUUUAUCAAGGAAGAAGAACUGACGGUACUUGAUGAAUAAGCCACGGCUAAUUCCGUGCCAGCAGCCGCGGUAAUACGGGAGUGGCAAGCGUUAUCCGGAAUUAUUGGGCGUAAAGCGUCCGCAGGCGGUUUUACAAGUCUGUCGUUAAAGCUGUGGAGCUCAACUCCAUUUCAGCGAUGGAAACUGUAAGACUNGAGUGUGGUAGGGGCAGAGGGAAUUCCCGGUGUAGCGGUGAAAUGCGUAGAUAU